UUUGGCAAAUGACGAAGACAAAUUUUUAUGCUACACUGAAUUUCCAGUGUAGACAACAACUCCGCUUAUUAUCUGAUGCCAUA